rnacentral:rRNA from 1 species
AACGAACGCUGGCGGCAUGCCUAACACAUGCAAGUCGAACGAGACCUUCGGGUCUAGUGGCGCACGGGUGCGUAACACGUGGGAACCUGCCCUUAGGUUCGGAAUAACUCCCCGAAAGGGGUGCUAAUACCGGAUAAUGUCUUCGGACCAAAGAUUUAUCGCCUUUGGAUGGGCCCGCGUUGGAUUAGCUAGUUGGUAGGGUAAAAGCCUACCAAGGCGACGAUCCAUAGCUGGUCUGAGAGGAUGAUCAGCCACACUGGGACUGAGACACGGCCCAGACUCCUACGGGAGGCAGCAGUGGGGAAUAUUGGACAAUGGGCGAAAGCCUGAUCCAGCAAUGCCGCGGGAGUGAUGAAGGCCGUAGGGUUGUAAAGCUCUUUUACCCGGGAUGAUAAUGACAGUACCGGGAGAAGAAGCUCCGGCUAACUCCGUG